GGCUCAUUCAAAUAUUUUGAGGAAUGCCUUGUAAAGGCUGUAUUUGUUGCACCUGGUGAGUAAGAGUGCCCUAUCACUUUAACUCCUAUGUGGUUAUAGUUCCCCAUCAAUAGAACUCCCCAUGUUGUAGUCCUAAAAACUGAAAAUGAUUUACUGCCAUCUCUAUGGGGGAAAUUAAUGGGGUUUUGGGAUAAGGUCUGACGUUAACACAGGCUUCGGAGAUCUUAUGUUUUAAUCUAUGAGAUAUCAGUCAGGUACCAUAACCUAUGUGUUUUCAUGCUUGUUUUGAUUACAGAAAUGCUUCAAAAUUCACAGCGAUGUUUCCCAAUGAAGAAUAUCUCAUAGAACAAAACGUGUAAGGUCGUAAACCUGUGUUUUGAAAAUAAAAGAGAGCCGCACACUCUAAAAGCUCAGAUGCAAAAAUGUAAUACCAACGUUUCGACAGCCAAGCUGUCUUCAACCUGUGUUUACCACAGACUUUAUUUUCAGCGUUUAUCCAAAACCCCUACAAAAACCUGAUUUCAUUUCCCGAAAGACUUUGGCCAAUGAGCCAUGGCGGAGUUGGCGCCUACUAAAAGACACCAUUACUAUUGCUCUCUAUUUAAAUUCUAUAGGGGACAGAUUGGAGUGGCACAAAAAUGGUUAAGCGUUGUAUCUUCUUGUGCUUUUGGUCUGUUUUGCCCUGUAGUUCCGGCCAGUUUAAAAGCCUUUGUUGGCCCCUAGAAGUAUGCGUGAUAGAAGACACCCAAAUAUUCAUUAAUAUGCUGUAAUGUGUAAACUUCACCUAGCAACCACCCGCUUGCACCAAUCCUUUGUAAAUACCAUUAAGUAAAUACAAACCCCUCCCUUCAAUCAUCCAUUCAUUCCGAUUACAGUAGCGUUGAAUUUAUUUUAUUUUAUAAUAGUACAUUUUAAGGUAUUGUACUCUGUCAUUACACAGUACUUGAUACCGUAUUUAUAUUACUGUAGGUGUACUGGAAAAUGAAAUGCAGAAUUUCUUUACCUGUUACUGAGCUGCCUGUAAUUGUCAAAUUCACAGUAACCCCUUUACAGUGUAGCAAAUUACAGGGCUUUGUAGCACGGUGCCAGAACCACGCUCAUGGUGGGGGAUGGAGUUGUAUACUGACAAUUUCACAAAUGACAACUUUUUUGUGUUUUGUAGUCGUUAAUGUGUUUAAAUAGCUGAAGACCGGUGUCAUGUUUUAUUACAGGGUUCAGUCUUAAACAAUAAUUGUAUGCAGUUGUUGCAAGGAUGCACACGUAAGUAGAGAACUGAUUGUUGAUAUGUCAUGUAAUAAUAUUCACAAUAGACACAAGACCCCAGUCUCUAAUUGAUAUGGUGCUGCCAUUGAAACAAGAGGAAUGGUAUGGUACUUUCAAAUGAUGUACUCCA
ensembl:lncRNA